GCGAGGUGACGAUAGAAAUUCAUGUCUGUCAAUCCACUGACUUCAAACAGCGUGAUGUUAUCGCGAAUCCCGACAGGUUCUGAUCGC